UCGGUUGUUUCAAGUUUGUGAGGAAUUAUGACGAGCAUAGUUACAUCAUGAGUAUUUCAUCUUUACUCUUUUUUCUUGUACCUGAAUAAAUAACUUUAGAGGCCUUUUAAUGGUUUUACUGGUUGAGCAGGUCCCCUGGGAUGUUAGGUACUGUAUAAUACCAAUUGCUUUUAGAGAUUUUAUGUGCAAAUUGAUACGGGCAUUGCUGCGCGCAAAAUUCAAGAUUGAGAAAGCAUUACAGUAGAGGUUAGUUUAUUUUCUGUUACAGAUUAUCUGAAAUUUGGCCUUUUUGCUUAUUAAGUUUGUGAUCGUUUCAGUAUGUUAUAAUCUUGCUCUAACAGAUUCCAGAUAUUUGCUGGUGCUACAUGUGAUUUAUGAAACUUGGCUAAUUUGUGAUGUGGCAUGUGUUUGUUUGACAGGCCAAGGUGGAGCCUGUGGUAGGGGCAAAUCCCGAAGAUGAGCUUGAGCUUGUGAUCGUCUUCCAUAAAGCUGAAGCUUCAUUCACCGAUAGUCGCAAGGUCUUAGCAGCCAAGAGUUUUUUUCCCUUGCUUUGUAGGAAGAUCAUUUGCUUGGGUGAUUUUGCACUGUAAGACCCGUUCUAGUUGUGGAUCUUAAUCUGGGCAAUGAAAUGAAAGAAUGCAAUCUGGUCUUGUUCCGGUUCUUGAUGCUACCAAUGCUACUUCUUGUUGAGUUUAUUUGCUCCAGUGCCUUCAUGUAGUAGUAUAUCCUGUACUUAGUGGAUCUUAAUCUAGGGAAUGAAAUUAAAGAUCAUUUGAUCAGGUAGUUCGCUGUGCAAUGCGAUCUGGUCUUGUUCUGGUAAUUGAUGCUACCAAUGCUACUUCCUGUUGAG
rnacentral:lncRNA from 1 species